UCCCUGGUGGUCCAGUGGCCAAGACUCCACACUUCUAAUGCAGGGGGUCUGGGUUCGAUCCCUGGUUGGGGAA
rnacentral:tRNA from 1 species